UACGUAGGUGGCAAGCGUUGUCCGGAAUUAUUGGGCGUAAAGCGCGCGCAGGUGGUUUCUUAAGUCUGAUGUGAAAGCCCACGGCUCAACCGUGGAGGGUCAUUGGAAACUGGGGAACUUGAGUGCAGGAGAGAAGAGUGGAAUUCCACGUGUAGCGGUGAAAUGCGUAGGAGAUGUGGAGGAACACCAGUGGCGAAGGCGACUCUUUGGCCUGUAACUGACACUGAGGCGCGAAAGCGUGGGAGCA
rnacentral:rRNA from 1 species